rnacentral:lncRNA from 1 species
CUAAUUGGCCGGAAGGGAAAAAGAAUUUCCAUAUAUAUAGAUAGAUAGAUAACAGAGGAAGAAAAAAUAGGACAGAUGCACAGACCAUGUCGAUGGGGUCCAUGUCAGUGUCCUAGAAAAACCUAACAAUUAGGCCAUGUUGGCAGACAGCAAGAUGGUGAUGUCACCGACGCAAAUUAUACUAGUCAAAGCGCACCACGCCGUGUUUGAAUUUCCGGGAGAAGUCUCCUAGCAUUAUCCUCCCAUUGCAGGUUGGGUUCCACAGCUAGAGCUAGCUGUGUUCCUGUGUGUAUAUAUAUACCCCGUGCCCCUCGCAGCGGCCCUGGCAAAGGUCGUGGAAGAGAGGAAGCAGCGAGAGGAGCCGAGGAAGAAUAUAUCCAUCCUAACAUCCACCCACCCACACACCAGACACACAUACCUUAUUCUCCGCCGUUUCUUGGCCUCCGGAAAUCUCCUCCCCCAAGUUGCAAGCAUGGGCGGGUUCAGCCUCAGCGGCGCUACAGGUCUCGCGGCGUACCGCGAGGAAGACGACGAGGAGCUGUUCGAGACGUCGUCUUCGAUCUCCGGCGACUCCGACGAUGAGGGCCACCAGCUCUCCGAUGGAGAGGGGGGCGCCUAUGAUUUGUCAUCUGUGAUGGCACAGCUCCCUGUCAAGUAAGUCGUCCGGCUUCUCUUUCUUCUAACGGACAUCAAAACUGAAAGGGGGGAAGUUCUCAACUCUUUUGUUGUCGUCCUCUCCAGGAAAGGGCUAUCCAGAUACUACGACGGCAAGUCCCAGUCCUUCGCGUGCAUGUCUGAAGUGCGAUGCCUGGAAGAUCUGCGCAAGAAAGAGACGCCCUACAAGAAGAUCAAGACAUCAAGGAGUAGCGUCGCGUUAGACGAAGAGCAGGACUGUCAUACGCCGGGUCGUACGAACAGCAGCAGAGCGCCCGGAAGUUGUUGCGCAAACCUGGUGGCUCGGAACAACGGCAAAAACAUGCUGUACAGACCUCCCCCAGUCCCUGUAAACAAAAGUGGAUACCGUCAGUAGGCUCUAGGACAUUACUGGA